GAUGAACGCUAGCGGCAGGCCUAAUACAUGCAAGCCGAACGGCAAGUUUGAUAGCAAUAUUGGACCUAGAGUGGCGCGAGUGUGCGUAACACGUAUGCAACCUGCCCGCGACAGGAGGAUAGCUCCCCGAAAGGGGAAUUAACCCUCCAUAACACCAUGAGAAGGCCUCUGAUUAUGGUUAAACCGCAAGGCGUCGCGGAUGGGCAUGCUGUUGAUUAGCUAGUUGGCGGGGUACAGGCCCACCAAGUCGGUGAUCAAUAGGGGUACUGAGAGGAAGGUCCCCGACACUGGCACUGAGAUACGGGCCAGACUCCUACGGGAGGCAGCAGUAGGGGAGAUAGGAGAAUGGUUGAAAGACUGAUCCAGCAAUGCCGCGUGCAGGAAGAACGGUUUCUGGGACGUAAUCUGCUUUAUCCUGAGGAUAAAAUACCCGUGCGCGAGGAAUUGAAGGUAACAGGAGAAUAAGCCACGGCUAACUACGUG
rnacentral:rRNA from 1 species